rnacentral:sRNA from 1 species
AUUCUGCCCAUGCGGGGAAGGAUGAGAAGCUUCGACCAAGGUUCGACUCGAGCGCCAGCGAGAGAGCGUUGCCGCAGGCAACGACCCGAAGGGCGAAGCGCGCAGCGCUGAGUAAUUCUUCCCCCACCACCA